rnacentral:tRNA from 1 species
CCACUGCCUUGAUCCACUUGGCUACAUCCGC